UGCCGUCAGUCUCAGGCUGCUUGCUCCGAGAAGUUUCUCUGUGAUGGUGGGAAGGAUGCUGGCUCUGGAGCUGGUCAGACCCAGGUUCAAACUCUGAUUUACUAGAUGCGUGAUUUGGGGGAAGCUAUUUAGACUCUUGAGGCCUCAAUCUUCUCUAAAAUGGGCUCGUUAAAGCAGCUGCCACACUUGCUUGUUUUGAGGAUUUAAGGAGCUGAAAAUGCAAUGCCUGGUGAGCAGUUCACACUGUCCGGUCUCGGCAUGGAAGCCUGCCUUCAGUGAGACCUGAACAUCUAUCCUGGGAGCCCUCCAAACCAGCCUGCAGGGCACGUGAUGGAUGAGAGAUGGGCCAGGUCGGUGUCCAGGGAGAUGAGCUUUACCCAUGGGCUGGCAGUGUUGCACGAGAUGGGACCAUGAUGCACAUCUGAGCCUCUGAGGUGACAACGGGCUUGGCUCUCUGCUCAUGGCACCGGGGCAGCCACGUCCAUGGCACCUAGACGUUCCGUCCACUCUUACGGGCUUGCUCCCAAGCCUGCACCUGCAGGAGUUCAGCCACCCCCGACUGUUGAGGCUGUGGAAGGAUGAGCCCAAAGAGGCCGAGCCUGCAAGGCCCCGCGGUCAGAGCACUGGUUUCUUUUCCUGCACGAAGGGGGCUCUGCAGCUGCCCCGCCGGGGCCAGUUCCCAAACCAGACCCCGGCUUUUCCCUUGGACUGUUCCGACGGGUGGAAAUACAGAGUGUUGGUGCUGGAAGGAUGAUAGCAAUGGUAGCUGUCAUUUAUUAAGCACCUACUGCAUACCAGGCAUGUUAAGAUGAUUUCUGAUCCUCACAAGUGCUGGAGGAGGCGCGAUUCUCAUCAUCAGGUCACGGUGGAGGCCAUGGAGCUCUAGGGAGGCUGUGAGUGAGAUCAGGGGCACAGACCUGCAUCCAACUCCAGCUCUGCCCCUUACCAGCUGUGGGACAGGCUGCUUUCUUAAGCUCUCGGUGUCUCGCCUUCCUCAUCUGUAGACGGGGAAGCUGCAAAGGGUGGCCCCCUGUAGGGUGGUAGUGAGUCACUGCACAGGCAGUGUGCUCACAGCAGGGCCCGGCGCCCAGGAAGGGCCGCCAGAGUGUCAGCUGUCACCACGGGGAGGACGAGUGAUUUGGGCCCAGUCGGCAGGGCAGCAAUAACUACAUUCCCAGUCUGUCCGGCCCCAGAGCCCAUGCUCUUCCCUUUACAUAUGAGGAAACGUGCAUGGUGGGGAGGGUGUCAGGAAAGAGGACUUGUCAAGAUGGGCCAGCUGCUCUGUGACUGUCCCAGGGCUGGUAGCCCUCUCUGAUGACCCCAGGUGUAGCGUCCACCCCACGAAAACACUGAAAUAAUCUCUGACAAGCCCCUUCGGCCUUGGGUUAUCUGAUGCCACCUCUGGGAGCCAGGGUUUAACGCGGGAAGCACUGUCUCUUGCUUUUGCACCACACGGGCCCUCUCCAGCCCUGACUUUCUUCAAACCGCACUUCCCAGCAACUUGAUCAUGAAUGUAAGAAAUCCAUGAACACAGACCACUGUUCCUUCCCCACCAUAAUCGACUCAGAUCUUAGAAGCUCUACAUGGAUUUUUAACCACCCUUUGCUGCCAACUUCUCCAUUUUAUUUGAAAUAAAUAUUCAAGAUGUA